AGUGAUUCGAGCUCGGUCGCUCCGCGUUAGGUUUAAUAAGUCAACGUGUGGGGGAUGCCCUAUGGUGGAGGAUACCCCGGGAUUUCGGGGAUAAUACUCCAUAAGUCAGGAGUACUGGAAUGUCUCCUAACUGAAAGUUGCGGCGCCAUAGGAUGAAUCUGCGGCCGUUUAGGUAGUUGUUGGGGUAAACGGCCCUAUUUUCCCGUAAUCGGUACGGGUUGUGGGAGCAAAGCCCGGAGAUGGAAUCUGAACACGAUUCCAGUUUAAAAGGGCACUAGCAGGCGCGAAAAACUUUACAAUGCAGGAAAACUGUGUUAGGGAACCCCGAGUGCCCGUAAAACGCGGGCUGUCCCGGUGUUUAAAACACAUCGGAUAGAGAAGGGCCGGGCAAGAUCCGGUGCCAGCCGCCGCGGUAAAUACCCGGCGGCUCGAAGUGGUGACCACUUUUAUUGGGCUUAAAGCGUUCGUAGCUUUGAUUUUUUAAAGUCUCUUGGGAUAUUCUCACGGCUUAACUGUGAUGGCGUCUAAAAUAAAACUGGGAUUCUAGGGACCGGGAUAUAGUAAAUAGUACUUUCAGGGGUAAAAUGUGAAUUUCUUGUAACCUUGAAGGGAACCACCGAUGGGCGAUAGCAUCUUAACCAAAUAGGCUUCACGUGAGGAAUCGAAUGCUGGGGAGCGAUCGGAUAUAGAUAUCUCGUAGUCUCAGCCGUAACAUACUGCCCGUUAGGGUGGGCCUGUAAUCUACAAAUAACUACAGGU
rnacentral:rRNA from 1 species